GUGAGUCAGUGCAGCGACAUGCGGUGGGGCUGCCCCCCUCUGCACUCCUCUCGCCCCCCCCCCUGCGUGGUGACCGCAGGGUGCCUCGGCUGCAUUGAUCCACCCACGGGGAGAGCCGCACCCCAGCGGUGCUUCUCGCUGAGCAGAAGGACUUUGCCCCCAAAUUCUUCAGGUGAGGCAGGUAGACCUUGGCUGCCCUCAGGGCCCGGGGGGACCCGCCCAGAUCUCCACACUCUGCUGGACUGUCCCUCCCUCGGAGGGCAGGUUGAGAGGGCCCGGAAGUACCCGUGCUUCCCCGUGGAUGGAGACAAACGCUCGGUGCACGGAGUCUCCCGCGGAUCAUUUCUCCUGCCUUCCUCGUAUCUCCUGGAGGAAGGCAAUGGAUUAACCAUAAUGUGGGUUGUGCAACAUGCAUGCAUUACCCACUCAACCUCCGGAAACACAAUCCUCUUACACUUAGAGGCCCAGACAGACACAGGGGGUUGCAGUCCCCACCUCCUGUCUUCCCAGAGAUUUCUAGAACCCCUGGGUACAUCUGAAUCUUUGAGCACUCUCAUCGCCUCCAUCACCCCCAUAAGCAAAAUCCAGGUUAACGUAAUUGUGUGUUUGAGUAAAAAGCAUGCUUGCAUGCACACGCAUGAAUAAAAUCCCUCCCCCAGCAGAUAGCUGAGCCACCGCACGGACUUUAGAGCCAUCUGGCUCCCGGGAUCUGGGAAGCUGGGUUGGCACAAGAAGGUCUGGAGGCAAAGGUUCUGAAAAGGACGAUUGCCGUCAUCCUGCCCAGAGCAUGGGGGUCUGAACAAGGUAGAAGUAAGGGACACAGAGCAAGUGUGCGAGAAACCUGAGUGGACAGGACAUACUGAUCUUUCCCGUGUUCAGUGAAAACGGCACGUCUGUAAAAACAUGUGGGUGUAGACAGAGGAGAAGGCAAUCGCCCCAUUCUGCUGAGUGCGUGCGGGUGGACCCCGAGCCCUCCCGUGCCAAGUCCCCACUGUGGGAGAGGAGAGGCAGCUCGGGAAUGCCUCCCAAGGGUCACAGAGAAGAAUCCCUUUCCAGGAGGCGACGGGGUUUCUGACAGCAGAGCCACACGGUUUACACUUGUUGGGUAACGUGUCCAGUUCCAAGUUUCCCGGCACAAAGGAGAUCCCAGGUUACGCAGGUUUCAAGUCUGGACAACACAGAACAGUUGCCUCCGGCAGUGCAGACUGGCUGUUUCCUGCAGUGGAGCCCACGCGGGGGCUUAUCGCUCCUGGUAGUAGGCGAUCCACUCCACCACGGUUUCACAAGAGAUAUGCUUGAGCUUCUCGGCACGAAGCUCCAUGUGGGCAGAGGGGGUGCCCAUGAACCCAAGUCUGGGGCCUCCUGUGGUGGGAAACUCCAUGCUGCGGAUUCUGACCCGAGAUGUGGGUGGGCCACCUGCCCCGUAGCCUGGGACCCCAGGCCAGCAGCAGGCCAGGGAGGCCCACGUCUCUGCAGGUGCUUUUUUGGAUCAUCGUGAGGAGUUUGGGGUUUAGUCACAUGGGACAGAGCGGCCCCGGAGCAUUGCAGGAUGGGACUUGGCUGCAGGAUGGGACUCGGCUCGGAGACGCGGAGCACAGUCUUGAGCAAGGAACAGCGUUGGCACAGAAGAGGGGAGGGUUUCGAGGGGAAUCCGGGAAAUAAAAUCCACAGAACAAAAAUGAUGACAAAGUGGAUGAGUUGCUGACAGUGUCCCAGGAGACGAAGGAGGCUGCUCUGGGUGCGGAGUGUUGCUGGAAGCCAAUGGAGCAGCGCGCAAGGUCGGUCCCACAAGGCGGCCCCGGGGGCUCAGGUCGCCCCAGGGACCGGGCCGGGUGGAAACACUAAGGAGGGUGCGAUGGGUGGGCGGCAGCUGCGACCGUGAGAGUUGAUGCCAUCGCACUGGCUGAGAGUGAAGACGGAGAGCAGUGGCCUUGGGGACAGUCACGCUGUGACCGGAAGAGCAGGCCAUGACCCUGGUGGGGCUGGGGUCCGCGACUCCAGGCAGACUCGCGUCCUGACCGAGGAUCCGCAUUGUGGGUGGACCACAGGACGACUGGACGCUGGCGGCGUGUCCUCUCCAAGGACGGACACCCGCGUCUUCCCGACCUACCUGGUGAGACAGAUGCAGGCUUCUCCGCCUUCCUCCCCAGCCACGGUUUCCACGACUUUGCGGCCAAACAGCUCUUUUCUCCGCCCGCCAGGACCGUAUCCUCCGACCUUUCCAAACGGUAAUCCCAUUGUAGGAGGAAGAGCAAACGUGCCGAGGAGCCGAGUGGUGGUGACCCACAAGCUCUUUGAGAAGGCUUCUUAAAAAGAUGGAUGAUUAAAAAGAAAAAGAUGGAUGAUUUUUUUUUAAAAGAUGAUUUAAAAAAAAAAUGGAUGAUUUUACUUUUCAGUGAUUGACAUAAGAAACUGAGCAUGAAUCAAUGUGUAGAUCUUCCGAAUGUGAGAAGAGAGGCGAAAUCAUAUUCUGAGACUCAAGGACCAAGUUUGGUUUUUCUACUUCCAAGCCUCCUAUAUAAUAAAUAAAACACAGGAAAAAAAAGAAAUCUCAAGAAAAACAACUAUGAGAGAUCGCUCCACCUACCAGCCUUCGCCCCGCUGUUUUGCAAAAUAAGGACCAGCACCGUGGACUUUCUAAAACUCGUAAGUUAUUUUGAUGUUUUUUUAAUGAUGCAAUAACCACAUGUAAAAUAGGGUGAAAAAAUUUAUGUGCUGCUCUUGGAAAAAAGUCGAGUUCUCUACUUGUACCGAAUACAAACCAGUCUAUCUUUUUAAUAAUAUUCCAGAAAGGUCAUAUUUACCUAUUCUACGUGAUAUAUCAAAGAUUGAAGUAGAGUAUUAGAUCAUUUGUCUUCAAAAUAUUUCAGGUCUGAAUAAAAGAGGAUCAGAUGCAAGCAAAGCCAGCUAAUUUCAAGCUUUUUAAGAUGCUGCAUGAAAGGCAACAUCCUGCCACUUCCAUCUGGCCCGCAGGCCUGCGGAACUGCUCAGCAAGUCUGCACCCCGGGGAGCUGCCGUCCUGGCUCCUAAGAACGCGAUCGGUGUUGUGACCCUGGAAGGUUCACACAUCUUAAAAAUCAGCCUCUCCGUGUUCCACGUAAGGAGGGACCGAGGGGUUAUUUGGCGACACGCAUUAAAAGAGAAGUCAUUUUGACGGUAGAGUAACACAGAGAGAGAAGUUAAGAGAGUUUUCUUAAAUAAAACUAGUAUAUUUUUUUUAGGGUUUAAAAAUAAAGUCAUCUCAAAAAAUUAAAAAUUAAAAAUAAAAAUAAAGUCAUCUCUACACCCAACGCGGAGCUCGAACUCCCAACCCCGAGAUCAAGAAGCCACGCUUCGAUCGACGAAUAGAACCACGUGUGCGUACACCUACGUCCCUGGCACAUGGCUAGGCUCCAACUAGGGGACCCACGUAUGCAUGCGCUGACGUCGUUACAGGCCCACUGGGUGCGGAGGCUCCGAAGGCCGUGGGCCGGGCCGCUGCCCCGCCCCCGCCCCCGGUGACCCGGCUCACGCUGCCCCUGGGUCAGGCCUCCCUGCGCACCAGCAGGCUGCCAGGUGUCCAGCGGCACCGAGGGCCUGGACGAUGUGGGGCAGCCAGGCGAGCUGUGCAACCACUGGAGAGUGGUCGGGCAUCGCCUCCACGGGCUACCUGGGCCGCGGCUGGGGCUCGCACACAGGGGGCAGGAGCCGCAGGCACAGCGGCCACUGGACGGCUGCCCACCUGCCAGAGCAGCGCUGCUUCUGAAAGUCCAGCCCCGGAAAGGCCCGAAUGUCCGGCAGCAGGAAAACCAGUAAGUGACAAGCGGCCUCAGACCCAACAUUUGUCUUGCAAGAGAAACUGAGCAAAAGACACUAGGAGCAAAGGUACAGAAACAGGAGGUUUUACUCACGGGCGGCUCACAAACGAGCCAGGCUAGCCCGUCUGGGGAUGCACAUUUAGAUGGUAAAGUACCGUCUAAAGGGCAGGGAGGACUGAUGGCGUCCGGAAGCAGGAUGGGGCCGCGGACAGCACAGCAGGUGACCCUGGGGGACCGGCCGCGGGUCUGCGGUGCCAUGGCAGCGGGUGAGGACACCGAGCACACGGUGCACCCUCUGCUUCGUGCAGCUGGCCUUAGGCCUCCAGCCGGCGGGGCUCAGGCUGGGCGCUGGAGGGGACGAGGUGCGGGCGGGCCAGCAUCCGGAGAGCCUCGGCCGGUGACCUCCCCAUGCAGCCCCGAGCGAUGGGCCUUGGCAGUGGCCUGGCCACAGGGGGGUGCAGGGUGGCAGGGGCGAGCCUGGCCUAGUGAGGGGAGAAGCCACAGCGUCAGACAUGGGCUGCCUCCUGCAGACACCCGGAGCCUCCCUGCCCGGCCUGCGAC
rnacentral:lncRNA from 1 species